ensembl:lncRNA
AUGAGCAGGUGUGUGACCCCAGUUAGCAGCUUAUUUUUAGAGGGUUCUAAGUGUAACCCUAGAGCACUGGAGAUGACGCUGAGUUCAGUGGAGGUCAGAGAAGCUUACCAACAGUCACUGCUUGGGCUCCAGGGCCUGGAGCCAGAGAGGCCCCAAAGGAACAAAAGCAGCCACUUCGAGGUCAGGCAGCUCAGCUGGAGGCCUCCCUGGGGAGUGCUGGGGCCAGCAAAGGGCCAGGCUUUCUCUCUCACCCAGGAGUCAGGGACCAGAUGGCCUGAGCAGGGCCUGAGCAGAGCAGGGGGAUGGGGCCCAGAAAUAGGCUCCUGUGGGGGUCCCACAGUGGAGCUGAGAAGGGUCCCUCUGUCUGGGGUCUCACACUGGCCUGGCCUAGUGUCUAAACUAUUGGGACUAAGGGGGUGGGUACCCAAUAAAUUGUGCCCAUCAAACCCAUGUAUCUCCAGGCUUGUCUUUCUACAGGGUGAGAACCUGGCUUAUCUUGCCACAUUAGGGUAAGAACCCUAAAACCACCUGGGUCAGCUUUUGUAUUUCCUAUACAUUUUGGUUUUCCUUUCCAUUUCUAUUCCUAGUAAAGUCCCUUUCAGAAAACAAAACAGUCCUUUCUGUAAGUCCAGCAUUAAAAGUUUUAAAAAACUUUUCUCAUCCAAGGCUGUUGUGGUCCUCCUGGCAGCCCUAUGAGACGGGAAUCAUAAUCCACGUUUUACAGGUGAAGAUAUCGAGGCUCAGAGAAGUGACGUGACUUACAGACACGCUACUGAUCUGACCAGUGGACCUGUGCUCAGGCCCCUGCUACUACUAACUCUGUGUGGACUGCCCGAAGGGCAGAGGCUCUGGUCUGUAUCUUGGCCCCAGUGAUUAUGAAGCAUUUCAGCCCCUUACAGGCCCUGGACGGUGGUUGUGGUUGCUUCUGCUGAGGACACAUUCAUUUAUUUAUUCAUUUACUCAUUCAGAGCAUAGUACUUUGGGGUCUUCCCUGGUCCAGUUGUUAAGAAUUCGAGCUUCCACUGGUAGGAGUGUAAGGAGCGUGUGUUCCAUCCCGGCAAUGCGGCCAAAAAAAUAAGUAAAAAUUUAAAAAAAUGAAUAUAAUACUUGUAUGUGCCAGGCANNNNNNNNNNNNNNNNNNNNNNNNNNNNNAAAAUACGUUUCCUGAUUUUAUGGGACUUUCAGUUUAGAGAAGACAACAAAUAACCAUGAAAUCACACAAACAAGUGGAUGAUUACAAACUGAGGUCAACUGCCAAGGGAUCAUAUUUACGGCAAAAUUUUUUUUUUUUUCCUGCAUCAGGCCUCUUGUGGGAUCUUGGAUCAGGGAUCAAACCUGGGUCAUGAUGGUGAAAGCACUGAGUCCUAAACACUGGACCACAGGGAAUUNNNNNNNNNNNNNNNNNNNNNNNCAUAGGGAAUUCCAAACACUGGACCAUAGGGAAUUCCAAACACUGGACCACUAGGGAAUUCCCUAUAGUAUUUUUAAACAAAGAAACCUGAUUUAGUCUGGGAGUGGGGAGUGUCCUUGUGGAAGUGACCCUUGAGAUUUAAAAGAUAAGCAAAAGUUAUCCAGGCAAGGGGAAGAUUGUGAAAGUAAAGUUGAGGGGAAGAAGUGCUACCCAAAUAGAAAGACCAUCGUAUGCAAAGUUUCUGUGACAGGAAGCUCCUUUUUACUGAGGGAAAGUGAGUGUGGCUAAAGCCCAAUAACAAGAUGAGGCUGGAGAGGUCCCUCAGGGGCAUGUUAAGGAUUGACAGACACUGAAUGGUUUUUUUCCAGCAAUGUGAACAUGUGUGUGUGUGUGUGUGUGUGUGUGCGCGUGGGCGCACGUGUGUUCACACUUGGGUGUGUGAUGUGCUCAGAUUUGCAUUUUGAAAAUGUUUCACUUAUUUUGCCACAUGGAAAAGAUUAAGAGAGGGGGUAAAGUAGGGACAGGGAGACCAGUGAAGAGAUAUUUGAACAAAUAAUAGUUAAUUGUUACUGAGUACUUACUCUAUACGAGGUUUCUCUGGUGGCUCUCUGGUUUUCUCCAGUGAAGGACAAGGAAGCCUGGCAUGCUGCAGUCCAUGGGGUCACAAAGUGUCAGANNNNNNNNNNNNNNNNNNNNNNNNNNNNNNNNNNNNNNNNNNNNNNNNNNNNNNNNNNAUGCAGGAGAUGUGGGUUUGAUCCCUGGGUCAGAAAGAUCCCCUGGAGAAUGAAACAGCAGCUAAUUCCCCUACUCUUGCUGGGAAAUCCCAUGGACAAAGGAACCUGGUGGGCUGCAGUCCAUAGCAUCGAAAAGAGUUGGAUCAGACAUGACUUAGCAACUAAACAAACAAACGUACUCUAUACAGGCACUGUUCUGAGUGUUUCACACAUAUUAAAACCCUAAUCCCCAAUUCCCAGAACCCAGUGAAGUAAGUACUUCUGUUAUCCCCGUUUGACAGGUGAGGAAACCGAGGCACAGAGAAGUUGCAUAACUUACCGGAGAUCAUACAACUGAUAAGCGGUGGGACCCAGGCAGUCUGAUUUGGGAGCUUCGGCUCUCAGCUACAGUUGUCUCCUGAACUCCGGUGGAGAGAGUGAGCGUGCAGGCUCAUUUACUCCAGUCAGCAUGUACUUGUUUAGUGCUCACUACCUGCUGGCCGGUAUUCUAUCUCUGGGGAGCUUGGAGUCUAGUCAGGUGGAGAUACAUGAGCAGCAAGCAAAUAAGGAAAUCAUAUGGUGUGUAAAGGAGAAUAAAACAGAGAUAAAGAACAGUGAGUUGUGGGGAGAUGGGUGGUGGGGAGAUGUGAGAGGCAGAUGCAUCUGUGAGAGAUUUAGGGGGUAAAAUCAUCAGGUCUUGAUGGACUGGACAUAAUGGACCGGGAACAGGCAGGUGUCCAGGAGACCGAUAUUUCUGACUUGUGAAACCAGAUGGAUGGUGGUGCCAUUUAUCGCCACAGGGAAAACUGGAGGAGGCCUAGAUUUGGGGGAGUAGGUGUGUGGAUAUAGCAGGUUUAGUUUUAUGUNNNNNNNNNNNNNGAGUCAUUGGAUAUACAUAUCCAGAGUUCAGAGGACAGGGCUAGAUUGGCAGGUUGAGAAGCUGAAACAUAUAGACGGAAACCUAAGCAUUGGGCAUGGAUGAGCUUGCAAGGGAUAGAGAGUGAAAUGAGAAGAGAAGAGGUUCUGUCUAAAGAGCAUCUGCAAUUCUGACAACAAUUCCAAUUUUAGAGUGUGAGUUUUCCCCCCACGUCACCAAGCAGGGUGUCCUAAACUCAGCUCAAUUCUGACACUUUUAUCUACCAGGAGACAGCAUCAGACCCACUAGUUAAGGGUUCAGUCCUACAAAACGCGCCCAAAACCACCCCCACUUCAGUUACCAAUCGAAAGUCUACCUAUAAAGAGGGGUUUUCACAACCCCUUCUUUCAGUACUAGAGCACAAUUGUCUUCCCCAGAUAGUCCCGUGGCAUCUCCGUCCUCUACUUAAGGUCUUUGGUCAAAUGUCACUCUCGAAGUAGAGUCUUCCUGAUCACUUUAGUUAAAACUGAACCUCCCCGCAGGCUGGUAUACCCUGUCCGCACUUCCUGCUUUAUCUUUCCUCAUGGCACUCACGACCUCUAAAAUUCCACGUGUUUUCACUUUUUCUUCAUUGUGUAUUGCAAGCACCACAAGGGAAGAUUUCAUUGUCUCACUUGUUCACUGCAGUGUCCCCCAGUGCCUAGCGCAUAGUAAGUACUUAAUAUUUGUUGGGUUUUCCCAGGUGGCUCAGUGGUAAAGAACCUGCCUGCCAAUGCAGGAGAUGC